rnacentral:rRNA from 1 species
GUCCACGCCGUAAACUAUGGAUAUUAGCUGUCGGGAGACUUACCCUCUCGGUGGCGCCGCAAACGCAUUAAAUAUCCCGCCUGGGAAGUACGGCCGCAAGGUUAAAACUCAAAGAAAUUGACGGGGGCCCGCACAAGCGGUGGAGUAUGUGGUUUAAUUCGACGCAACGCGAAAAACCUUACCUAGGCUUGACAUCCCGCGCUACCCUAUGAAAGUAGGGGUUCCCGUAAGGGACGCGGAGACAGGUGCUGCAUGGCUGUCGU